GACGAACGCUGGCGGCGUGCUUAACACAUGCAAGUCGAACGGUGAAGCUCCAGCUUGCUGGAGUGGAUCAGUGGCGAACGGGUGAGUAACACGUGAGCAACCUGCCCCUGACUCUGGAAUAAGCGCUGGAAACGGCGUCUAAUACUGGAUACGAGAAGGGUCCGCAUGGGCACUUUCUGUAAAGUUGUUCGGUUGGGGAUGGGCUCGCGGCUUAUCAGCUUGUUGGUGAGGUAAUGGCUCACGAAGGCGACGACGGGUAGCCGGCCUGAGAGGGCGACCGGCCACCCUGGGACUGAGACACGGCCCAGACGCCUACGGGAGGCAGCAGUGGGGAAUAUUGCACAAUGGGCGAAAGCCUGAUGCAGCGACGCCGCGUGAGGGAUGACGGCCUUCGGGUUGUAAACCUCUUUCAGCAGGGAAGAAGCGAAAGUGACGGUACCUGCAGAAGAAGCACCGGCUAACUACGUG
rnacentral:rRNA from 1 species